rnacentral:rRNA from 1 species
GAUGAACGCUGGCGGCAUGCCUAAUACAUGCAAGUCGAGCGAACAGAUAAGGAGCUUGCUCCUUUGACGUUAGCGGCGGACGGGUGAGUAACACGUGGGUAACCUAUCUAUAAGACUGGAAUAACUCCGGGAAACCGGGGCUAAUGCCGGAUAACAUGUUGAACCGCAUGGUUCUACAGUGAAAGGCGGCUUUGCUGUCACUUAUAGAUGGACCCGCGCCGUAUUAGCUAGUUGGUGAGGUAACGGCUCACCAAGGCAACGAUACGUAGCCGACCUGAGAGGGUGAUCGGCCACACUGGAACUGAGACACGGUCCAGACUCCUACGGGAGGCAGCCGUAGGGAAUCUUCCGCAAUGGGCGAAAGCCUGACGGAGCAACGCCGCGUGAGUGAUGAAGGUCUUCGGAUCGUAAAACUCUGUUAUUAGGGAAGAACAAAUGCGUAAGUAACUGUGCGCGUCUUGACGGUACCUAAUCAGAAAGCCACGGCUAACUACGUG